UGCGGUGUUGAGUUUUCAUUUACAUGGCGCUUUGCUUAAGUAAGAGCAGCGUAGCUAUAAGAAUUCGCACUCUUAAUAAGAAGUAUAUGCGUUAGAGCGAGCAAGUGAAAAUCAGGCGAAAUUUGACAGCGAAUUUCAAAUUUGAAGAAAAACAUCAAUUUCGCGCAAAAUUUAGGAGAUAGCCAAACAUCAGCAGGAGACUUAAGCCAUCAGAACCUUGAAG